rfam:Clostridiales bacterium 44_9 Ley3_66761_scaffold_4307, whole genome shotgun sequence.
UGUGUAGCGGUCAUAGAAUCCCUUGGCACUCUGGCAAAAGUCAGAAAUUUUCAGACAUGGAUGUCUGAAAAAGGGGGAGCUGAGCCAUGGAUGGCGAAUCUUCCCCGGUUUCGUCCGUAUUUCAUAGUAAAUCCACAGUGUGCUUAGGGAAUCUCAGACCGCUACACC